GGCUCCUUGGUCAAGCGGUUAAGACACCGCCCUUUCACGGCGGUAACACGGGUUCGAGUCCCGUAGGAGGCACCA
rnacentral:tRNA from 1 species